GACGAACGCUGGCGGCGUGCUUAACACAUGCAAGUCGAACGAAGUGGCGAACGGGUGAGUAACGCGUAAUCAACCUGCCCUUCAGAGGGGGACAACAGUUGGAAACGACUGCUAAUACCGCAUACUGAAGGAGGGGAUUGCGUCUGAUUCGCUAGUUGGGGGGGUAGCGGCCCACCAAGGCGAUGAUCAGUAGCCGGUCUGAGAGGAUGAACGGCCAAAAUGGGAAUUAGAAACGGCCCAGACUCCUUCGGGAGGGAGCAGUGGGGAAUCUUCCGCAAUGGACGGAAGGCUGACGGAGCAAAUCCGCGUGAGGGAUGACGGCCUUCGGGUUGUAAAGCUCUGUUAAUCGGGACGCGGUACCGGAAGAGAAAGCCACGGCUAACUACGUGCCAGCAGCCGCGGUAAUUC
rnacentral:rRNA from 1 species